AUUGAACGCUGGCGGCAUGCCUUACACAUGCAAGUCGAACGGCAGCGGGCCUUCGGGUGCCGGCGAGUGGCGAACGGGUGAGUAAUGCAUCGGAACGUGCCAUUGAGUGGGGGGAUAACGUAGCGAAAGUUGCGCUAAUACCGCAUAUUCUGUGAGCAGGAAAGCAGGGGACCGCAAGGCCUUGCGCUCUUUGAGCGGCCGAUGUCAGAUUAGCUAGUUGGUGAGGUAAAGGCUUACCAAGGCGACGAUCUGUAGCGGGUCUGAGAGGAUGAUCCGCCACACUGGAACUGAGACACGGUCCAGACUCCUACGGGAGGCAGCAGUGGGGAAUUUUGGACAAUGGGCGGAAGCCUGAUCCAGCCAUGCCGCGUGAGUGAAGAAGGCCUGGU
rnacentral:rRNA from 1 species